rnacentral:rRNA from 1 species
AGAAUCAACGCUGGCGGCGUGCCUCAGACAUGCAAGUCGAACGCGAAAGUUUCCUUCGGGGAGCGAGUAGAGUGGCGCACGGGUGAGUAACACGUAGGUAAUCUACCUUUGGAUGGGGAAUAACAACCGGAAACGGUUGCUAAUAUCGCAUGAUGCAGCGGCACCUAAUGGUGACAGUUGUUAAAAGCGGGGGAUCGAAAGACCUCGCGUCUGAAGAGGAGCCUGCGGCGGAUUAGCUAGUUGGUAGGGUAACGGCUACCAAGGCAACGAUCCGUA